rnacentral:lncRNA from 1 species
UAUUGCGGGCAGGCGCUUUACCCUGUGAGCCACCUGGGAAGCCGCUGUUGGCUGGUCUCCGUUCUACUGCUGUUCUACCUUCAUUAUAUCUCCCCUGGUUUGGUGAACUAGUUUUCUAACCAGUCUGCUUUCCCCAGUCUCUUUUUCUCCAUCUCCUCAGUUUACUGAAACCUGGGUUAUGAUUAUGUCAUUCCCUUUGCCCUCAUAAUAAAAUCCAAACACUUUGACCUGGUAACAAUGUAUACUAUAUAUCAGAUCUAUAGCUCUCCCUAGAAAUAGCACAAAGGAAGCAAUUGAAAAGGUGGGGCUGGAGGGUGGUCUCUAGUUCUGCCUAGGCUUUAGUCUUAGGUGUGCUGUUUGGGGUCAGUAUAGUGACGGGAGCAGACGUGUUCUUUAUUGCCUGCUACAGAUCAAGUGCUGUGGCUUAUUGCACUGGGCUUUAAAAACAAAUGAACAUAUUUUUUGUUAUUUUUCAAGCAAUACUGACAAAUUAGGAUUAUUUGUUUUCUAAUGUCUAUAUUAUCCCUGUUUCUGAUGCACAUGCAUACAUACUUCUUGUACUCGUAUAUAUUUGGUUUGUAUUCAUCUUGAGCAUUUUAUCAAGUAAUUUCAGAGAUAUUUCUAUUUUUUUGUUUGCUUUUUAAUAGUCUGUGAAAUUAAUACAUUCUCCUUUCGUAUGUGCAUUGUCCCUUCUUUGUUUAACAUAUUAAAAGCUUGUCUAAGUUUAACAUAUUAUCUGGUGACUGUAAUAAUAGGCAUGCAAUAACAAGUGUGUAAUACUGAAGUUACAUUGCUAAAUCACAUUUUUUACUCCCCCAUCCCUAUCUAUGGCUAAUACUGAAAUAAAGACAAAUUAUUUGGGUUGAGAAUGUGAUACUUGGGAAAUUGAGGAUGUUUUUCCAUAAGUAAACAUAGAAAAACAUAUAUAGUAACAAAUACAUCUGAAGUGUUUGGAAGAUGGGUAGAAAUAUUAACUUUAGGUUUUGUUAAAUCAACAUAACAUUAGCUAUGUAUUUUUAGAAGUUAAGGAUAACAAAGAUAAAACCAGGAUACAUACUUUUUAAGCCAGAAUAUGUAAUUUCCAAACCGGUAGAGGAAAAAAAACAAUAAAAGUAAUUUGCUCAAUCAAGAAAAAGCAAGAAAGAUUAAGAAGGCAGUAUGGCAAAUGGGAAAGCAUGGUAAAUGAACACAAAAAGGAAGAAAUAGUGGAUUAAUACUUUGUUAGUGUAUUUUAUGAAUAUAUAAAAAUAUCUAUUGG